GAUGAACGCUGGCGGCGUGCCUAAUACAUGCAAGUCGAGCGAACAGAUAAGGAGCUUGCUCCUUUGGCGUUAGCGGCGGACGGGUGAGUAACACGUGGGUAACCUACCUAUAAGACUGGGAUAACUUCGGGAAACCGGAGCUAAUACCGGAUAACAUUUGGAACCGCAUGGUUCUAAAGUGAAAGAUGGUUUUGCUAUCACUUAUAGAUGGACCCGCGCCGUAUUAGCUAGUUGGUAAGGUAACGGCUUACCAAGGCGACGAUACGUAGCCGACCUGAGAGGGUGAUCGGCCACACUGGAACUGAGACACGGUCCAGACUCCUACGGGAGGCAGCAGUAGGGAAUCUUCCGCAAUGGGCGAAAGCCUGACGGAGCAACGCCGCGUGAGUGAUGAAGGGUUUCGGCUCGUAAAACUCUGUUAUUAGGGAAGAACAAAUGUGUAAGUAACUGUGCACGUCUUGACGGUACCUAAUCAGAAGGCCACGGCUAACUACGUG
rnacentral:rRNA from 1 species